ensembl:lncRNA LINC01264 long intergenic non-protein coding RNA 1264
UGAGGUCAGACGGGCCCUUGGGCUCCCGGGCAGGAGCACCCGGCCUCCCAGCUCCAGAAGCUGCGCCUCCUCCAGCUCGCCUGCCCCCACGCUGCCCAGUGACUCUCAGGAGGAGAGGAGCUGAUGUUCCUGCACCCAUGAUGAGGAAAUCAAGACUCGGAAUGUCCUGGUCCCUUUCCACAAGGCCUCGCCUUAUCCGCUCCCACAAAGGGCUUACCUCUUCAGGAGGAUCUGGCCCCAUGGUCAGAGAAGUGAGUGAAUAUCAGCUGUGGGGCACCCAGAGCAGUUGCCAUCUUCUGCUCUGUCUAGCCUGGGAGUCCUGGAAGGAGACUGCAGCCUGAGUGCCUCCCGAGCCAGCUCCUCUCCAGGACAUCACCUUGGCCCCUGGGUGUCCCAACAGACAGUCAGCACACAAAGGUUACCUGAUGCCCAGGUAGGAACUGCAGCUAUUUUUAAACUGAGAUUUCCUACAAAUUAAAAUUGCUUUGAGUAUGUGUGAA